rnacentral:rRNA from 1 species
CCUACGGGAGGCAGCAGUGGGGGAUAUUGCACAAUGGAGGAAACUCUGAUGCAGCGACGCCGCGUGAGGGAAGACGGUCUUCGGAUUGUAAACCUCUGUCUUUGGGGAAGAAAAUGACGGUACCCAAAGAUGAAUCUCCGGCUAACUACGUUCCAGCAGCCGCGGUAAUACGUAGGGAGCGAGGGUUGUCCGGAAUUACUGGGUGUAAAGGGGGCGUAGGCGGGCGAGAAAGUUGAAUGUUAAAUCUACCGGCCUAACUGGUAGCUGCGUGCAGAACUUCUGGUCUUGAGUGAAGUAGAGGCAGGCGGAAUUCGUAGUGUAGCGGUGAAAUGCGUAGAUAUUAGGAGGAACACCAGUGGCGAAGGCGGCCUGCUGGGCUUUAACUGACGCUGAGGCUCGAAAGCGUGGGGAGCAAACAGGAUUAGAUACCCUUGUAGUC